UGAUUUCUUAGUCUCCGCAGAUAUCUGUGAAUUCUCCAUGCAAGAACCCGAGCUGCACGAUUUGUGUCCGACGACGCGGACUACGCUGCGUCACUUCAACAAGGGUCAGCAAGCAUGAUGCUAAGAAGCGACAGUGCUAAAUCGAGCUCGUCUAGGGAGCCGGAUGGUGCUGAGAUGGUCUAUACGAGGGACAACGUCGCAAUUCAUCCGUCUCAUUUUUGCGUCCGAGAGGAUAAGCGGAAGACUGAAGUUGAUUAAGCAAAGCUCUUCUUUGUUUAUGACGUGGAUACCAUAUAUAGGUCACAGCUCAACUGCAAAGCUGUCGGAGA